CAUGUCCCGUGGUUCCAGCGCUGGUUUUGCCCACCACAUUAACAUUUUUUUCGCCCGAGGGCCAGCACUACCAAGUAGAAUAUGCAUAUGCUUUUAAGGCUAUUAACCUGGGUGGCCUUCCAUCAGUAUUUGUCAGAGGAAAAGACUGCUGUAAUUAUCAUACAGAAGAAAUGCUUGACAAAUUAUCGGAUUCCAGCACAGUGACUCACUUACUCAAAAUAACUGAAAACAUUGGCUGUCACUGUGAUGACCGGAAUGACAGAGGUACAGAGGGCACGCUAUGGGGCAGCUAACUGGAAAUACAAGUACGGCUAUGAGAUUCCUGUGGACAUUCUGUGUGGAAUUGCUGAUACUACUCAGAAUGCUACAAUGAGGUCUCUUGGUUGUAUGAUUUUCAUUGGUAUAGAUGAAGAACAAGGCCCUCAGGUGUGAAAGUAUGAUCCUGCAGGUUACUGCUGUGAUUUAAAGCCACUGCAGCAGGAGUUAAACAAACUGAGUUAACCAGCUUCCUUGAAAAAAAAGUGCAAAAGAAAUUUGAUUGGACAUUUGAACAGACAGUGGAAACUGCAAUUACAUGCCUGUCUACUGUUCUAUCAAUUGAUUUCAAACCUUCAGAAAUAGAAGUUGGAGUAGUGACAGUUGAAAAUCCUAAAGUCGGGAUUCUUACAGAAGCAGAGAUUGAUGCA
rnacentral:lncRNA from 1 species